rnacentral:rRNA from 1 species
AUUGAACGCUGGCGGCAUGCCUUACACAUGCAAGUCGAACGGCAGCACGGGAGCAAUCCUGGUGGCGAGUGGCGAACGGGUGAGUAAUAUAUCGGAACGUGCCCAGUCGUGGGGAUAACGUAGCGAAAGCUACGCUAAUACCGCAUACGAUCUAUGGAUGAAAGCGGGGGAUCGCAAGACCUCGCGCGAUUGGAGCGGCCGAUAUCAGAUUAGGUAGUUGGUGAGGUAAAGGCUCACCAAGCCGACGAUCUGUAGCUGGUCUGAGAGGACGACCAGCCACACUGGGACUGAGACACGGCCCAGACUCCUACGGGAGGCAGCAGUGGGGAAUUUUGGACAAUGGGCGCAAGCCUGAUCCAGCAAUGCCGCGUGCAGGAUGAAGGCCUUCGGUUGUAACUAGCUUUGUACGGUAACGAAACGGUACGAGCGUCUAAUACAGUUUGUCUAAUGACGGUACCGUAAGAAUAAGACACCGG